UUCAUUUCAUUCAUAGGAGAAGAAUAAACCCUAACGAAGUGGUGCCAAAAAGAAUCCCUCAAUGUCCUCUCACACUAAAGCUCUCAAAAACCUAACAAAGUGGCUGAAGUUUUUCACUGAAACUUGAAGGAGAAGAGCUCGACUUCCAUCCUUUUUCCAACUACUCAACAAAGCAGCCACACAUAUACAAACAAGUAGAAUGUAGUAGAAAUAGGAGAAAGAAGACUCACCGGAUCUCAAACUUCCUCAAAGCUCAUACGUGCACCACCGUGCGCAACGCCGUCACCGCUGUCGAAGCAAGCGGCCGCUGCCAUCGAUUUGUUCGAAAGCUUCAUUUCUCGAACUCUCCCGUUGAUAGAGCUAACAAGCAUGGGAUACUAUUGGAGAUGGUUCAAGCGUUGACAGAUCUUGAUCUUAUCAUUUCCAAAUCAUACAUUUAUUCUGAUGGUGGAUGGCUAAUGGAUGCCGUUUUUCGUGUUGACGGACAGUUUUCUAAAACCAUUGAAGGUAAUUAUGUUAACCUGUGUUGUGUCAGUUAUCAUUUCAAUAUAAUUGAAACUUAUUGAAGGCAUGCUUAUCUCUGUUUUUGUUGAUAUGUAGCUGCUCUUCCUAUGUCUAGAAGUUAUGGUAGUUAGUAAGUUAGUUAUAGGAAGUUAUGGUUGUUAGUAAGUUAGUUAUAGGAAGUUACAAACUGUUAGUGAAUUGUAAACACUUCUGUUAUAGGUUAGGUUAAAAACUGUUUUUCGAGAAAUGCAGAUUAAUUGAACAAUCAGAUGUCGCCCUGCUUAAGUUGAUUACCAACUUUUGUGAGUGAAAAGUGUUUGAAAAAUCGAAAUUCAUAACAUGGUCUUUUUUGCUGUCAUGCUUAGUUGCUUCAACUUUAAUUUUUUCUGUUAGACUGUUAGUCAAACUUAGACCAAAUAACAGCCAAUUCUAAUUGUUUUCUACGUUUGUUAUAGUUAACCGUAAAGUAUUCAUUUCAGGAUGAUGCAUAUUUCACUGUUGUCUUUUAUCUUCUAACAUAUUUUAGUUCUCCAAACGGAGAGCAACAGAUGAGUCCAUUUUCGUAUUCAAAGACUGCUACAAAUUUAGCCUUUAAAAACAUAGACAACAACAUGCUCCUCCAAACAAAAGAUUUUCUCUUGAAGCCUGCAAAUGAUAACAUUGACGCACCAAGUACUAUCACUAUGCUUUCUGACGAUUCUAAUGUCAAUUCUACAUCCAAAGUCGUUGCAACCAAGAGUAUCAAUCCAGGUUGUUUUAUAUGUUAAUAAUUGAGCCUCGUGAUUUUGUACUAAGUUUAGAUUGUUUACAUUUAUCAUGUUAACAUAAUCUAUAUAUUUUGGCCAUAUUG